rnacentral:tRNA from 1 species
GCCAGAGUGGUGCAGUGGUCUGAGUGUUGGACUAUGACUUUGGAAACCUGGGUUUGAUUCCCAGCUCUGCCA